GAUGAACGCUAGCGGCAGGCUUAACACAUGCAAGUCGAGGGGCAGCAUGACACGGAGAUUCGUCGAAGUGUUGAUGGCGACCGGCGCAAGGGUGCGUAACGCGUGAGCAACUUGCCCGUUUCAGGGGGAUAACCGGUGGAAACGCCGACUAAUACCCCAUAGCAUCAACUUCAGGCAUCUUUAGUUGAUUAAAGAAUUUCGGAAACGGAUAGGCUCGCGUGACAUUAGCUAGAUGGCGGGGUAACGGCCCACCAUGGCGACGAUGUCUAGGGGUUCUGAGAGGAAGGUCCCCCACACUGGAACUGAGACACGGUCCAG
rnacentral:rRNA from 1 species